GACGAACGCUGGCGGCGUGCCUAACACAUGCAAGUCGAACGGAACUGUUUUGAAAGAUUUCUUCGGAAUGAAUUUGAUUUAGUUUAGUGGCGGACGGGUGAGUAACGCGUGAGUAACCUGCCUUCAAGAGGGGAAUAACAUUCUGAAAAGAAUGCUAAUACCGCAUGACAUAUCGGAACCACAUGGUUUUGAUAUCAAAGAUUUUAUCGCUUGAAGAUGGACUCGCGUCCGAUUAGUUAGUUGGUGAGGUAACGGCUCACCAAGACCGCGAUCGGUAGCCGGACUGAGAGGUUGAACGGCCACAUUGGGACUGAGACACGGCCCAGACUCCUACGGGAGGCAGCAGUGGGGGAUAUUGCGCAAUGGGGGCAACCCUGGCGCAGCAACGCCGCGUGAAGGAGGAAGGUUUUCGGAUUGUAAACUUCUUUUAUUAAGGACGAAAAAUGACGGUACUUAAUGAAUAAGCUCCGGCUAACUACGUG
rnacentral:rRNA from 1 species